rnacentral:sRNA from 1 species
GCUUGAACGUCUCGUGGCUUAUCCAUAUCGAUGUCUUCAAAAGAUUCUUCUAGUUUU